rnacentral:misc_RNA from 1 species
GUGUCGUAAACUUUCUUGCCCAUGAACUGUCGCACAUCGGCGACGACCUGAUUCGACAGGUUGUUGCGCGAGUCGAACAUCGUCAGCACGAUGCCGUGGAUCGAUAGCGUCGGGNAGCGUCGAGCGCACCUGCUCCACCGUCUGCAGCAACUGCGACAGACCUUCGAGCGCGAAGAACUCACACUGCAACGGAACGAGAAUCGCGUGCGACGCCGCCAUGGCGUUGACGGUGAUGAGAUUGAGCGACGGCGGGCAAUCGAUCAGCACGUAGGUGUAAUCGGUGUCCGGCGCGACAUUGACGUUGAGGUCGGCGAUGGCGUCGCGCAGACGAAACGCACGAUCACGCGUGGUGCCGAGUUCGAGUUCAAGACCCGANUCCAUGGUCGAAGCCGCGAUGUGCAGGCGAGGCACCGCGGUCGGAAUGAUCGCCUCGCGCAGCUUUGCUUCGCCGACCAGCACGUCAUAGGUCGAGCAGCUGCGGUUGCGGCGAUCGAUGCCGAGACCGGUCGACGCGUUGCCCUGCGGAUCGAGAUCGACGAUCAGCACCCGCUCGCCGAUGGCA